rnacentral:tmRNA from 1 species
GGGGGCGACUGGUUUCGACAUGGUAGGCUCGAACCGGGAAGCAAGCCGUGGUCUCCUCGCCACGCUAAACAGGGGUACCGUCAAAUUUAAUUGACAACAAAUCUUUCUCUGGGCAGUACGCCCUCGCUGCUUAAUUUAUAGCAGCGCGUCAACGUUGGGCACUUCCCUCGGCCCAGCCGCGAUGUCACAUUAGAGGGAUGCAUCCGCGCACGUAAUCGGUAUGGCGCACGAUAAAGAUCGAACCGAUUAGGCGAAGGCAUUGUUCGUCGACGAGCGCACCUUCGCUGAACACUUUUCGCCGACUAAGCUUGUAGCGUCCUGGGAACUGUCUAGUAUGGACCGGAGUUCGAUUCUCCGCGCCUCCACCA